rnacentral:rRNA from 1 species
GACGUAGGGCGCGAGCGUUGUCCGGAUUUAUUGGGCGUAAAGAGCUUGUAGGCGGCUUGUCGCGUCGACUGUGAAAACCCGAGGCUUAACCUCGGGCCUGCAGUUGAUACGGGCAGACUAGAGUUCGGUAGGGGAGACUGGAAUUCCUGGUGUAGCGGUGAAAUGCGCAGAUAUCAGGAGGAACACCGGUGGCGAAGGCGGGUCUCUGGGCCGAUACUGACGCUGAGGCGCGAAAGCGUGGGGAGCGAACAGG